rnacentral:rRNA from 1 species
AGAGUUUGAUCCUGGCUCAGGAUGAACGCUAGCGACAGGCUUAACACAUGCAAGUCGAGGGGCAGCGGGGGUAGCAAUACCCGCCGGCGACCGGCGCACGGGUGAGUAACGCGUAUGCAACUUACCUAUCAGAGGGGGAUAACCCGGCGAAAGUCGGACUAAUACCGCAUGAAGCAGGGGCCCCGCAUGGGGAUAUUUGCUAAAGAUUCAUCGCUGAUAGAUAGGCAUGCGUUCCAUUAGGCAGUUGGCGGGGUAACGGCCCACCAAACCGACGAUGGAUAGGGGUUCUGAGAGGAAGGUCCCCCACAUUGGUACUGAGACACGGACCAAACUCCUACGGGAGGCAGCAGUGAGGAAUAUUGGUCAAUGGCCGAGAGGCUGAACCAGCCAAGUCGCGUGAGGGAUGAAGGUUCUAUGGAUCGUAAACCUCUUUUAUAAGGGAAUAAAGUGCGGGACGUGUCCCGUUUUGUAUGUACCUUAUGAAUAAGGAUCGGCUAACUCCGUGCCAGCAGCCGCGGUAAUACGGAGGAUCCGAGCGUUAUCCGGAUUUAUUGGGUUUAAAGGGUGCGUAGGCGGCCUUUUAAGUCAGCGGUGAAAGUCUGUGGCUCAACCAUAGAAUUGCCGUUGAAACUGGGGGGCUUGAGUAUGUUUGAGGCAGGCGGAAUGCGUGGUGUAGCGGUGAAAUGCAUAGAUAUCACGCAGAACCCCGAUUGCGAAGGCAGCCUGCCAAGCCAUUACUGACGCUGAUGCACGAAAGCGUGGGGAUCAAACAGGAUUAGAUACCCUGGUAGUCCACGCAGUAAACGAUGAUCACUAGCUGUUUGCGAUACACUGUAAGCGGCACAGCGAAAGCGUUAAGUGAUCCACCUGGGGAGUACGCCGGCAACGGUGAAACUCAAAGGAAUUGACGGGGGCCCGCACAAGCGGAGGAACAUGUGGUUUAAUUCGAUGAUACGCGAGGAACCUUACCCGGGCUUAAAUUGCAACUGACGGAUUUGGAAACAGAUCUUCCUUAGGGCAGUUGUGAAGGUGCUGCAUGGUUGUCGUCAGCUCGUGCCGUGAGGUGUCGGCUUAAGUGCCAUAACGAGCGCAACCCUUGCCACUAGUUACUAACAGGUAAAGCUGAGGACUCUGGUGGGACUGCCAGCGUAAGCUGCGAGGAAGGCGGGGAUGACGUCAAAUCAGCACGGCCCUUACAUCCGGGGCGACACACGUGUUACAAUGGCGUGGACAAAGGGAAGCCACCUGGCGACAGGGAGCGAAUCCCCAAACCACGUCUCAGUUCGGAUCGGAGUCUGCAACCCGACUCCGUGAAGCUGGAUUCGCUAGUAAUCGCGCAUCAGCCAUGGCGCGGUGAAUACGUUCCCGGGCC